rnacentral:rRNA from 1 species
GGUUAAGCGACUAAGCGUACACGGUGGAUGCCCUGGCAGUCAGAGGCGAUGAAGGACGUGCUAAUCUGCGAUAAGCGUCGGUAAGGUGAUAUGAACCGUUAUAACCGGCGAUUUCCGAAUGGGGAAACCCAGUGUGAUUCGUCACACUAUCAUUAACUGAAUCCAUAGGUUAAUGAGGCGAACCGGGGGAACUGAAACAUCUAAGUACCCCGAGGAAAAGAAAUCAACCGAGAUUCCCCCAGUAGCGGCGAGCGAACGGGGAGGAGCCCA